rnacentral:rRNA from 1 species
CAAUAGCGUAUACUAAAGUUGUUGCAGUUAAAAGCUCGUAGUCGAAUGAAGGUUCUUUUGUUACGUGAACUCGUAGGUGUAACUUAUGUAGUUUGUGUACAAAGACCUCCCUCGUAUGAAACGAUUUUUCUGAUUUUCAGGAAGAUACGGUCAUACGCAUUACUGUGAACAAAAUAGAGUGUUCAUGGCAGGCCAAUUAGGCUUGAAUACCUCAGCAUGGAAUAAUAGAAUAGGACUUCCGGUUCUAUUUUGUUGGUUUUUGGUAGCCGAAGUAAUGAUUAAUUAAGGGAGUAGUUGGGGGUCGGAUUCGUAUUUAAACUUGUCAGAGGUGGAAAUUACUUUGGAUUUGUUUAAAGAACGGACUACUGCGAAAGACAUUUGUCCAAGGAUGUUUUCUAUUGAUCAAGAACGAAAGUUAAGGGG